CUGGAGGCAGCAGUGAGGAAUAUUGCGCAAUGGGCGAAAGCCUGACGCAGCAACGCCGCGUGCGGGACGAAGGCCUUCGGGUUGUAAACCGCUUUCAGUAGGGACGAAAUUGACGGUACCUACAGAAGAAGCCCCGGCCAACUACGUGCCAGCAGCCGCGGUAACACGUAGGGGGCGAGCGUUGUCCGGAUUUAUUGGGCGUAAAGAGCUCGUAGGCGGCUCGGUAAGUCAGGUGUGAAACCUCCAGGCUCAACCUGGAGACGCCACCUGAUACUGCUGUGGCUUGAGUCCGGUAGGGGAGCGUGGAAUUUCUGGUGUAGCGGUGAAAUGCGCAGAUAUCAGAAGGAACACCAGCGGCGAAGGCGGCGCUCUGGACCGGUACUGACGCUGAGGAGCGAAAGCGUGGGUAGCAAACAGGAUUAGAUAUCCUAGUAGUCA
rnacentral:rRNA from 1 species